rnacentral:lncRNA from 1 species
AUGGCAAACAGACAAACAAGCAAAAAAAUAGAGGUAAACACCCUCCCCUCUCCCAAAUCACCAUUCAGGCUGAGCAGACUUUAUUUUAAAAUGGGCACAUUUUUUUCCAGGAGAUGUCAGAUGAUGUCGAAAAUGUCAUCCACUGUUGUGGAAGUGGCAGAAAGGAGCUUGAGUUCUACCUUCAGAGGAUGGAGCUGCCAGUACAACAUAUGUAUGCAUCCAGAAAUCUCAAAAUCAGCGAAAGCUAGCAUGCCCAUUGGAUGCUGGGUGGAUGCAGUGAGAUGCUUAGCUGGUUCCUGACUUUCAGGAUAAAUACACAAUGGGAUGAAACCGACCUUCUUCCAGAAU